rnacentral:rRNA from 1 species
AGAGUUUGAUCCUGGCUCAGAUUGAACGCUGGCGGAAUGCUUUACACAUGCAAGUCGAGCGGCAGCGCGGGGGCAACCCUGGCGGCGAGCGGCGAACGGGUGAGUAAUACAUCGGAACGUACCCAGUCGUGGGGGAUAACACAUCGAAAGAUGUGCUAAUACCGCAUACGACCUGAGGGUGAAAGGGGGGGAUCGCAAGACCUCUCGCGAUUGGAGCGGCCGAUGUCGGAUUAGCUAGUUGGUGAGGUAAAGGCUCACCAAGGCGACGAUCCGUAGCUGGUCUGAGAGGAUGAUCAGCCACACUGGGACUGAGACACGGCCCAGACUCCUACGGGAGGCGGCAGUGGGGAAUUUUGGACAAUGGGCGCAAGCCUGAUCCAGCGAUGCCGCGUGUGUGAAGAAGGCCUUCGGGUUGUAAAGCACUUUUGUCCGGAAAGAAAUCCGUCUGGCUAAUACCCGGACGGGAUGACGGUACCGGAAGAAUAAGCACCGGCUAACUACGUGCCAGCAGCCGCGGUAAUA